rnacentral:rRNA from 1 species
AUUGAACGCUGGCGGCAGGCCUAACACAUGCAAGUCGAACGGUAACAGGAAGCAGCUUGCUGCUUUGCUGACGAGUGGCGGACGGGUGAGUAAUGUCUGUGAAACUGCCUGAUGUAGGGGGAUAACUACUGGAAACGGUAGCUAAUACCGCAUAACGUCGCAAGACCAAAGAGGGGGACCUUUUGGCCCCUUGCCCUCGGAUGUGCCCAGAUGGGGUUAGCUAGUAGGUGGGGUAACGGCUCACCUAGGCGACGAUCCCUAGCUGGUCUGAGAGGAUGACCAGCCACACGGGAACUGAGACACGGUCCAGACUCCUACGGGAGGCAGCAGUGGGGAAUAUUGCACAAUGGGCGCAAGCCUGAUGCAGCCAUGCCGCGUGUAUGAAGAAGGCCUUCGGGUUGUAAAGUACUUUCAGCGGGGAGGAAGGGAGUAAAGUUAAUACCUUUGCUCAUUGACGUUACCCGCAGAAGAAGCACCGGCUAACUCCGUG